CUGCAGCUCAAGUGGUGACCGCUAUUAUUGGGCCUAAAACGUUCGUAGCCGGCUGAGUAAAUGCUUGGGUAAAUCGUGCCGCUUAACGGUACGAAUUCCGGGUAGACUACUCAGCUUGAGACCGGGAGAAGCUAGAGGUACUCCUGGGGUAGAGGUGAAAUUCUGUAAUCCUGGGGGGACCACCAGUGGCGAAGGCGUCUAGCUAGAACGGGUCUGACGGUGAGGAACGAAGCCCUGGGGCGCAAACCGGAUUAGAUACCCGAGUAGUCC
rnacentral:rRNA from 1 species